CCGGAUAAAUCGGCUGCAAGUAACUUCAUCUGUUUUUUGUAAAUACCGAUAUAUUUGACAGUAAAUAAAUAUUGAUUUUAAUAAAGGACUUAACACCUAAUAAUAUGUAUUGUAAUAUUUACAGUGCAAAUCGCUCUCUUUAAUUUACGCGCAUUGUUAUAAAAUGUCCGUCGGAACUGGCGAACCAACUGUAUUGCACUAACUGUCUAUAGUUUAGUUUUCUUUUUAGGCUUAAGGAGAAGAAAGUGUACAAUACUGACGAAGGAAUAGUUAUAGCCGACGUUAAUGACUGUGAUAAUCAUUGGACUGUGCCCGCCUGGCAACAUGGUGCAAAGAUUUUAGUGAUUGUGGGCGAAGAUGACAAACGGGUUCAUCCAAAGUGACACAUUUUUCUACGAGCAAUGUCCUUCUCAGUUAAAAAAAAAUAUCCAGAUCCACCGAUAUCCGGGAGCCGGACAUAUGAUCGAGCCGCCAUACUCGCCACAUUCAAGGAUGGUCACUCCAGGACGGAAACGAAUGAAAUCAAUUAAUUUUAUUUCAGAAAAAUUCUAUGGUACGUUUAGACAAAGAUUUUAUUUAUACCACAGAAGGCAACAAGCGUUCUAAAUAUUCCAAAAGAUUAACCCCUUAAGACUUACCUUGACUUUGAAGGUGUUACCGUGAAAACAGUUGUUGACUUAUCUUUAAUCUCAAUGCAUUUCCGUGCAGCGCUUAAAAGGUCAUGGUGCCUUAUUUAAAAUGUUGCUUCCACACUAUUUUGUUAUAAAAUAAAUUAUUUUUGUGUUAAAUCUUAUUUUCGAUAAGUGUUUUCUGUGACAUAUUUGUCAUAGGCUUGAAUGUUUCAUUAAUAUAUUAAAAAGUGUUA
rnacentral:lncRNA from 1 species